rnacentral:rRNA from 1 species
GACGAACGCUGGCGGCGUGCCUAACACAUGCAAGUCGAACGGAGAUUUCAUUUAUGAAAUCUUAGUGGCGAACGGGUGAGUAACGCGUAGACAACCUGCCUUUUAGAUGGGGACAACACCGCGAAAGUGGUGCUAAUACCGAAUGUUGUAUCGAGAAUGCAUAUUCUUGCUACUAAAGAUGGCCUCUAUUUAUAAGCUAUCACUAAAAGAUGGGUCUGCGUCUGAUUAGCUAGUUGGUGAGGUAACGGCUCACCAAGGCGACGAUCAGUAGCCGGUCUGAGAGGAUGAACGGCCACACUGGGACUGAGACACGGCCCAGACUCCUACGGGAGGCAGCAGUGGGGAAUCUUCCGCAAUGGACGAAAGUCUGACGGAGCAACGCCGCGUGAGUGAAGAAGGUUUUCGGAUCGUAAAACUCUGUUUUCAGGGACGAAUGUGCAGUGUGUAAAUAAUGCAUUGUAAUGACGGUACCUGAGUAGAAAGCCACGGCUAACUACGUGCCAGCAGCCGCAGUAACAC